rnacentral:rRNA from 1 species
UACAGAGGUCCCAAGCGUUGUUCGGAUUCAUUGGGCGUAAAGGGUGCGUAGGCGGCACGGCAAGUCGGGAGUGAAAGGCCUGGGCUCAACCGAGGAACUGCUUUCGAGACUGCCGAGCUAGAGUGCGGAAGGGGCAACUGGAAUUCCCAGUGUAGCGGUGAAAUGCGUAGAUAUUGGGAAGAACACCGGAGGCGAAGGCGGGUUGCUGGGCCGACACUGACGCUGAGGCGCGAAAGCCAGGGGAGCAAAGCGGG